rnacentral:rRNA from 1 species
UACGUAGGGGGCGAGCGUUGUCCGGAGUUACUGGGCGUAAAGGGCGCGUAGGCGGCGGGUCAAGUCGAGUGUGAAAGCCCCGGGCUCAACCUGGGAAUUGCGCUCGAGACUGGUCUGCUUGAGUUCGGGAGAGGAGCGUGGAAUUCCCAGUGUAGAGGUGAAAUUCGUAGAUAUUGGGAAGAACACCGGUGGCGAAGGCGGCGCUCUGGACCGAGACUGACGCAUGAGGCGCGAAAGCGUGGGGAGCAACAGG